rnacentral:rRNA from 1 species
GUCGAACGGUAACAGGAAGCAGCUUGCUGCUUCGCUGACGAGUGGCGGACGGGUGAGUAAUGUCUGGGAAACUGCCUGAUGGAGGGGGAUAACUACUGGAAACGGUAGCUAAUACCGCAUAACGUCGCAAGACCAAAGAGGGGGACCUUCGGGCCUCUUGCCAUCGGAUGUGCCCAGAUGGGAUUAGCUAGUAGGUGGGGUAACGGCUCACCUAGGCGACGAUCCCUAGCUGGUCUGAGAGGAUGACCAGCCACACUGGAACUGAGACACGGUCCAGACUCCUACGGGAGGCAGCAGUGGGGAAUAUUGCACAAUGGGCGCAAGCCUGAUGCAGCCAUGCCGCGUGUAUGAAGAAGGCCUUCGGGUUGUAAAGUACUUUCAGCGGGGAGGAAGGCGACAGGGUUAAUAACCCUGUCGAUUGACGUUACCCGCAGAAGAAGCACCGGCUAACUCCGUGCCAGCAGCCGCGGUAAUACGGAGGGUGCAAGCGUUAAUCGGAAUUACUGGGCGUAAAGCGCACGCANGCGGUCUGUCAAGUCGGAUGUGAAAUCCCCGGGCUCAACCUGGGAACUGCAUUCGAAACUGGCAUGCUAGAGUCUUGUACAGGGGGGUAGAAUUCCAGGUGUACNGCUGAAAUGCNUACAGAUCUGGAGGAAUACCGGUUGGCAAAUGCNUCCCCCUGGGNANAAACUGAGUCUCA